rnacentral:rRNA from 1 species
UACAGAGGGUGCAAGCGUUGUUCGGAAUUAUUGGGCGUAAAGCGCGUGUAGGCGGCUUGGCAAGUCGGGUGUGAAAUCCCUCAGCUUAACUGAGGAAGUGCGCCCGAAACUGCCGAGCUUGAGUACCGGAGAGGGUGGCGGAAUUCCCCAAGUAGAGGUGAAAUUCGUAGAUACGGGGAGGAACACCGGUGGCGAAGGCGGCCACCUGGACGGAUACUGACGCUGAGACGCGAAAGCGUGGGGAGCAAACAGG